UACGAAGGGGGCUAGCGUUGCUCGGAAUCACUGGGCGUAAAGGGUGCGUAGGCGGGGCUUUAAGUCAGGGGUGAAAUCCUGGAGCUCAACUCCAGAACUGCCUUUGAUACUGAGGAUCUUGAGUUCGGGAGGGGUGAGUGGAACUGCGAGUGUAGAGGUGAAAUUCGUAGAUAUUCGCAAGAACACCAGUGGCGAAGGCGGCUCACUGGCCCGAUACUGACGCUGAGGCACGAAAGCGUGGGGAGCAAACAGG
rnacentral:rRNA from 1 species